rnacentral:misc_RNA from 1 species
GAUGAAGAACGUAGCGAAAUGCGAUAAGUAAUGUGAAUUGCAGAAUUCAGUGAAUCAUCGAAUCUUUGAACGCACAUUGCGCCCCUUGGUAUUCCGAGGGGCAUGCCUGUUCGAGCGUCAUUAUAACCCCUCAAGCUCAGCUUGGUGUUGGGGCCUGCUGCACUGGCAGCCCUUAAAAUCAGUGGCGGCGCCAUCUGGCUCUAAGCGUAGUAAUUCUUCUCGCUAUGGAGUCCUGGUGGAUGCUUGCCAUCAACCCCCAAUUUUUCUAUGGUUGACCUCGGAACAGGUAGGGAUACCCGCUGAACUUAAGCAUAUCAAUAAGCGGAGGA